AGCUUUGUGCAGUGCAGUAUCAUAGUCAAUGAGGGUCAUCUGAGGGCAGGAUUAUUGCUGAUUGAAAAACUUUUCCCAAUACCCCCACCAUGAUAACUUGAAAUAUAGUGGCAUUGGCAAUUUUUGUGUGUGUGAGUGUG